rnacentral:rRNA from 1 species
GGAAUACAAAAGGUAAAGGUGAAAUUUGGUAGAACCUUUGUGGACUAUACAGAAUUGAUCUUAUAAAUAAUUUCAUCUUUGAAUCCUGUGGUAGUAAUCUGGAUUAGAUACCCAAGUAAUCAUAGAAGUAAACUCUAGCUAAUUGUAAACUGGUUAACAAGUGUUAAGAUAAAUUGGGCUCAUCUUAUGAUUACGCUUUUUCAAGUGAAAGUUAAAGGUGCUGGUGGUAAUUUAGAACAAUGGUGGAAUUGAUGAUUUAAUUCGACGUUACACGAUAAAUCUUAUCUUAGAUUAAUUUGUGAUGUUGGUUUCAACAUGGUCUUACGUCAUUAAGUGUUGCAUGGCUGUCUUAAGGUAGUGUCAUACGACUCAACUACCGCAAUACUAUUUGGUUAGAGUGAUCUUACUAUUAGUAUUCACCUCAAAGUAGAUCAAGGUCGAGUCAUUAUGAUCUAUGCUAAGAGCUAUCCAUCAGUAACAAUACCUAUGUUUAUAUAUUAAUUGUCCUAAUUUUAAACGAAAAAUAGGUCUACGGAUUGAAGGUUGAAAUGUCUUCAUGACAGUUGGAAUCAUUAGUAAACCCAUGGUUAGUUAAACUGGGUUGAAUAAGAGAUAAGUUGCGUUCAUACUGCCCGUCAAAUAAAUAGAGGUGUCUUGGAUAUAGUCAUUUUUAACGGACCCAAUUAACACCAAUAAGUAUUAAGUCGAAACACGGUAAGUUAAACGGAAGUUGAAGUUGG